ACAGGAACUGCACUCCAGCACCGAGUGCUGGGAGGAGAAACUCAAGGGAGACAGCAGCCAGCACUUCCCAAAGGCAACACCACUCCCGCCAGCAGCGUCGGACCUCAAAUUCAUCCAGAGGAUCCAGAAGUCGCCGUGACACGAGCCGCGUUAGAACACCCAGUGCUGAGAGCCCCACUCACCGCUCAGACGGUGAGACAGGGACCCACCACUGAAACGUUCUACGUCAGACAGGGAGGAGGAGGCCCCCAAAGUGAGGGAGAGAGCAUGCCUGUUGUGCCAGCGAUCAGACACUGACCCGGACAUCUGCGAAGAGGAAACUUUGUGCCCACGAGUUCUGCCUGGUUUUGCCAACCAUUUCCUCAGCACCCCCUGGGUCAAGUAGGACUCCAGGGCUUUCUGCCAAGGAAUAUCCUAGAUGUAGUCUCCCGGGCGGCACAGAAGGGACAGGCUCUGCGCUCUGGUGUUUCAUCCCUCCAGUGCCC